rnacentral:rRNA from 1 species
UGGGGAAUUUUGGGCAAUGGCCGAAAGGCUGACCCAGCGACGCCGCGUGCGGGAGGACGCCCUUCGGGGUGUAAACCGCUGUCAGAGGGGACGAAAGGCCGGGGUGGGAAUACUGCCCUGGAGUGACGGUACCCUCAGAGGAAGCACCGGCUAACUCUGUGCCAGCAGCCGCGGUAAUACAGAGGGUGCGAGCGUUGUUCGGAAUCACUGGGCGUAAAGCGCGCGCAGGCGGGACUUGCAAGUCGGGAGUGAAAGGCCGGGGCUCAACCCCGGAGCUGCUUUCGAGACUGCGGACCUGGAGACCAGUAGGGGUUGGUGGAAUUCCCGGUGUAGCGGUGGAAUGCGUAGAGAUCGGGAAGAACACCGGUGGCGAAGGCGGCCAACUGGGCUGGAUCUGACGCUGAGGCGCGAAAGCGUGGGGAGCAAACAGG